UACGGGGGAUGCGAGCGUUAUCCGGAUUUAUUGGGUUUAAAGGGUGCGUAGGCGGCGCUUCAGGUCAGCGGUGAAAUACCGGGGCUCAACCCCGGGGCUGCCGUUGAAACCGGAGCGCUAGAGUUCCGAUGCCGUCGGAGGAAUGUGUGGUGUAGCGGUGAAAUGCGUAGAUAUUAGGAGGAACACCAGUGGCGAAGGCGGUCUGCUGGACAGCAACUGACGGUGAGGCGCGAAAGCGUGGGGAGCAAACAGG
rnacentral:rRNA from 1 species